UACAGAGGGGGCAAGCGUUGUUCGGAAUUACUGGGCGUAAAGGGCGCGUAGGCGGCCUUCUAAGUCGAACGUGAAAUCCCCGGGCUCAACCCGGGAACUGCGUCCGAUACUGGAAGGCUUGAAUCCGGGAGAGGGAUGCGGAAUUCCAGGUGUAGCGGUGAAAUGCGUAGAUAUCUGGAGGAACACCGGUGGCGAAGGCGGCAUCAUGGACCGGCAUUGACGCUGAGGCGCGAAAGCCAGGGGAGCAAACGGG
rnacentral:rRNA from 1 species